GUUCGUUGGCGUCGCAUUGCUCUCCUUCUCAUCUUCCCUGAAAACCCACCGCGAUUUUCUUUCAAUCAUUUCCUCUUCGAUUUCCGUUUGUUUUCUGGUAGCAACUGUGUUUUGGUUUAAGGAUUCAAUGGUGGAACUGUGUAAUACGAGAACAUUAGCUUUUCGGUUUGGGAUGUUGGGUUUGUGUCAUCAUUAACAUGAGAUUCGACCUUAUGGCGACGCUGUUUCCAAAAUACCCCAAGGGUUAAUUGUCGUGGUUGACAGCAAUGAUUGGGACCGUGUUGUUGAGGAGAGGAAUGAGAUGCACAGGAUGUUGAUGGAGACACAUGUAUUGCUAAUUAAUGGUAGAUUCAAAAACCAAUCAAGGAAAAAAAACCACAAUACUUUCUAAAGACCGGACCAGGUUGGAUUGACCGAACUGGGUGAAACAGGUCAAACAGGGUCGGAUAGGAAUGUUUGUUUCAAAAUUAUACAUAUACUAAAACUUGCCACAAAAUCACGGUUCAUUAACAGUGAAUGGACUAAGGUGCCCUCUAAUUUUUUUUUGUUAUUAGCUGUUUUUCACUUUUCACAUAGCAAAAAAAUCGUUUUGACCUCCAGCCUACGAGUUAUCAUCACUUCAUUUUCUCAUUCGACAAAACACUUUUUACAUGUAUUUCGGAUUGGUAUUAUGAAUAUGGGGGAAUAAUUUGUUUUUUUGAUGAAGACUAUAACAUAAUGCUACUGAUUCGUAACAUAACUCUUCAAGUUACAUUAUUUAUACAAGGAAUACUAGAAUGGUUUAAAAGCGAAGUAUUGUUGUAGGUUAAUUUAUAUUUGAAUACAUUAUUUUUCUUGAUAAAUACUAUGAUAGAAUGCCACUGAUUCGUAACAUAAGGUUGAUAUCAUUUAUACAAGGAAUACCAGAAUGGUUCAAAAGUAGAGCAGUAUAUUAAUUUAUAUUUGAAUGCAUAACAAACAUGAUAUGUAUUUAAAUAUAAAUUAACCUACAGUAAUACUUUGUUUUUAAACAAUUCUAGUAUUCUUUGUAUGAAUGAUCCGCAACCUGGCAACCUGGAAAGUCAUGUUAUGAAUCAGUGGCAUUUUGUCAUAAUCUUCAUCAAGAAAAAUAAUGCAUUCAAAUAUAAAUUAACCUACAAUAAUACUUCGCUUUUAAAUCAUUCCGGUAUUCCUUGUAUGAAUGAUUCGCAACCUGGAGAGUCAUGUUACAAAUAAGUGGCAUUCUAUCAUAGUCUUCAUAAAAAAAAAAAAAUUCCCUUAUAUUCAUAAAAACAUACAUGUUAGUACAUAUUCAAAAUACAGGCAAAUAGUGUUUUGUCGAAUGAGGUGAAGCGAUGAUGACUCGUAGGCUAGGGAGGUCAAAACGAUCUUUUUGCCAUGUGAAAAGGGAAAAAAUAGCUGAUAACAAAAGAAUUAGAGGGCACAUUCCUGUUCGAUCUUUUUAUGUUAAGUUUUAGUAUAUGUAUAAUUUUGGAAUGCAUAUUCUUGUCCGACCUGGUCUGGUCUCACCCAAUUUGGCCGGUCUGAUAUGCUUUGUCUGGUCUAACCCUUUUUGUUUGGUUCGACCAGCUUUGUGCGUCUGGUUGUCUCGAUUCGAUCGGCUCGACCCGGUCCUGUUUGACUUGGUUCGUCCGUCUAAUCAGAUCCGAUUGGGCUUGACCUAAUUCGACUGCCCAAUCUGGUUCGGCUCGACUUGUUCUAAGUGGUUAACCAAUUCCGGCUCGACUCGACUUAGUCUAGGUGGCUUACCAUUCUGGUCUUAUCUGACCCGAUCCAGUUGGCUUAACAGUUUUGGUUUGACCUGACCAGAUCCAGUUAUGGUCCGACUCGACCAAAUCUAGUUGGCCUACCAGUUCAUGUCCGGUCCGACCCAUUCCAGUUAGCCUACCAGUUCCUAUCUUCUCCGACCCAAUCCAGUUAGCUAAUUAGUCAUGGUCCAGUCCAGAUCCCUUUCCUGUUCGACCUAACCCGUCUCUUUAGUUGGGUUUGAUCGGUUCGAUCUUUUUAGUUGAAUAACACGGAGCUAACUAACUUAACAACUUCAUGAAAUUGGGCUGAAAAGUUUUGAUCGCCCGUUCAAAUUUCAUUUUGUAACCUCUCAUACAUAUUUCAUAUUGUUUGUGGUGUCAACCAACAAGAUCUUACCAUCAACCUUGUACUCGUUGAUGGAUCAAAUUCAUACGGUACUU
rnacentral:sRNA from 1 species